GCACUAGUAGCUCAGCCUCAGAGCUUCAGUCUUGUAAACUGACCGUCGAAGGUUAAAAUCCUUCCUACUGCU
rnacentral:tRNA from 1 species